UGAGCGCUACUAUUCGCAGCAGGGUCUUGCCAAACUCCGAGGGCAGCAGAGCGGCACCCGAGGCGGCCAGAUUUCGGAUUACCGCGGCCGUGUCGUGCUCGACAGAGACCAGUGUGCGAGGCCCAGAGUUCGGGUGGUCUGAAUCGGUGAGCCCUGCUCCAGCUGCUGCUGGUGUGGCUGAAGAGGAUGUGACCCA
rnacentral:lncRNA from 1 species